rnacentral:rRNA from 1 species
UACGAAGGGGGCUAGCGUUGCUCGGAAUCACUGGGCGUAAAGGGUGCGUAGGCGGGUCUUUAAGUCAGGGGUGAAAUCCUGGAGCUCAACUCCAGAACUGCCUUUGAUACUGAGGAUCUUGAGUUCGGGAGAGGAAUGCGGAAUUCCAGGUGUAGCGGUGAAAUGCGUAGAUAUCUGGAGGAACACCGGUGGCGAAGGCGGCAGUUCUGGACCGACAUUGACGCUGAGGAGCGAAAGCCAGGGGAGCAACGGG